UACGGGGGGGGCAAGCGUUGUUCGGAAUUACUGGGCGUAAAGGGCGCGUAGGCGGCCUACUAAGUCGGACGUGAAAUCCCUCGGCUCAACCGAGGAACUGCGUCCGAUACUGGCAGGCUGGAAUCCGGGAGAGGGAUGUGGAAUUCCAGGUGUAGCGGUGAAAUGCGUAGAUAUCUGGAGGAACACCGGUGGCGAAGGCGGCAUCCUGGACCGGUAUUGACGCUGAGGCGCGAAAGCUAGGGGGAGCAAACGGG
rnacentral:rRNA from 1 species